rnacentral:lncRNA from 1 species
AGUAACAGAUGGAAUAAAUGAAAGUGACUUGAAUAAUUCAACUACAACAAAAGAAGUGGAUCUUUGGCAUAAGAGGUUUAUCCAUGCUUCAUCUAAAGUUCUCAAAACGUAACUUCAUAGCAAAACUGACCUUAUAGUUGAUACAGUAAAGCAAUGUGUAGUUCGUCCUUGUGCUAAACAGUCAAGAUUACAUUUCCUAUCAGUAGCAUUAAAUCUGUAAGCAAGUUUGAUCUAGUACAUAUGGAUUUAAGGGGA